rnacentral:rRNA from 1 species
CCUACGGGUGGCAGCAGUCGAGAAUCAUUCACAAUGGGGGAAACCCUGAUGGUGCGACGCCGCGUGGGGGAAUGAAGGUCUUCGGAUUGUAAACCCCUGUCAUGUGGGAGCAAAUUAAAAAGAUAGUACCACAAGAGGAAGAGACGGCUAACUCUGUGCCAGCAGCCGCGGUAAUACAGCGGUCUCAAGCGUUGUUCGGAAUCACUGGGCGUAAAGGGUGCGUUGGCUGUUUCGUAAGUCGUGUGUGAAAGGGGCGGGCGCAACCCGCGGACGGCACAUGAUACUGGGAGACUAGAGUAAUGGAGGGGGAACCGGAAUUCGCGGUGUAGCAGUGAAAUGCGUAGAUAUCGAGAAGAACACUCGUGGCGAAGGCGGGUUCCUGGACAUUAACUGACGCUGAGGCACGAAGGCCAGGGGAGCGAAAGGGAUUAGAUACCCGUGUAGUC